rnacentral:rRNA from 1 species
GACGAACGCUGGCGGCGUGCCUAAUACAUGCAAGUAGAACGCAGUUGCGAACGGGUGAGUAACGCGUAGGUAACUGCCUCAUAGCGGGGGAUAACUAUUGGAAACGAUAGCUAAUACCGCAUACUGUGAGAUGGACCUGCGUUGUAUUAGCUAGUUGGUGAGGUAAAGGCUCACCAAGGCGACGAGACAUAGCCGACCUGGGAGGGGGAUCGGGCAAACUGGGACUGGGACACGGCCCAGACUCCUACGGGAGGCAGCAGUAGGGAAUCUUCGGAGAUGGACGGAAGACUGGCCAAGAAACGCAGCGUGAGUGAGGAAGGUUUUCGGAUCGUAAAGCUCUGUUGUUAGAGGAGCAGUAAAUAACCAGAAAGGAACGGCUAACUACGUACCAGCAGCCGCGGUAAUUC